rnacentral:snoRNA from 1 species
UUGUGGGCCGUGACGAUGCAAAAUGCAUAGUUCAUCUGACUUGACAGUGAAGAACUAGCUCAAAGCAAAUGUCUUUCGCUCCUAUCCGAGCCCCCAA